GCCCGGGUAGCCCAAUCGGUCGAGGCAGUGGCCUUAAAAGCCAUGGUCCGCAAGGACGUACGGGUUCGAGUCCCGUCCCGGGUA
rnacentral:tRNA from 1 species